ACUCCUACGGGAGGCAGCAGCAGGGAAUAUUGCACAAUGGGCGAAAGCCUGAUGCAGCAACGCCGCGUGAGGGAUGAAGGCCUUCGGGUCGUAAACCUCUUUUGUAGAGGAAGAGAAGGGACGGUACUCUGCGAAUAAGACACGGCUAACUACGUGCCAGCAGCCGCGGUAAUACGUAGGUGUCGAGCGUUAUUCGGAUUUACUGGGCGUAAAGCGCACCGAGGUGGCAUCUUAAGUCGGAUGUGAAAUCUCCUGGCUUAACUGGGAGACGCCAUUCGAUACUGAGGAGCCUGAGGUCAGCAGGGGAAAGUGGAAUUCCCGGUGUAGUGGUGGAAUGCGUAGAGAUCGGGAGGAACACCAGUGGCGAAAGCGACUUUCUGGGCUGCACCUGACACUCUAGUGCGAAAGCGUGGGGAGCAAACAGGAUUAGAUACCCUGGUAGUCCACGCCCUAAACGAUGGAUACUAGGUGUGGGGGGUAUUGACCCCCUCCGUGCCGAANCCAACGCGUUAAGUAUCCCGCCUGGGGACU
rnacentral:rRNA from 1 species